GAUGAACGCUGGCGGCGUGCCUAAUACAUGCAAGUCGAGCGAACGGACGAGAAGCUUGCUUCUCUGAUGUUAGCGGCGGACGGGUGAGUAACACGUGGAUAACCUACCUAUAAGACUGGGAUAACUUCGGGAAACCGGAGCUAAUACCGGAUAAUAUUUUGAACCGCAUGGUUCAAAAGUGAAAGACGGUCUUGCUGUCACUUAUAGCUGGAUCCGCGCUGCAUUAGCUAGUUGGUAAGGUAACGGCUUUCCAAGGCAACGAUGCAUAGCCGACCUGAGAGGGUGAUCGGCCACACUGGAACUGAGACACGGUCCAGACUCCUACGGGAGGCAGCAGUAGGGAAUCUUCCGCAAUGGGCGAAAGCCUGACGGAGCAACGCCGCGUGAGUGAUGAAGGUCUUCGGAUCGUAAAACUCUGUUAUUAGGGAAGAACAUAUGUGUAAGUAACUGUGCACAUCUUGACGGUACCUAAUCAGAAAGCCACGGCUAACUACGUG
rnacentral:rRNA from 1 species